ensembl:misc_RNA Y_RNA Y RNA
AGCUGGUUUGAAAGUAGUGAGUUAUCAAAAUAGAUUUUUCAUAAUCAGUUAUUAAUCAAACUUCUUGUUCUACCCUUUCCCCUCCUGUCACUACCGCACUUCAGUAGUCUAAA